UACGUAGGGUGCAAGCGUUAAUCGGAAUUACUGGGCGUGAAGCGUGCGCAGGCGGUUUUGUAAGUCUGACGUGAAAUCCCCGGGCUCAACCUGGGAAUUGCGUUGGAGACUGCAAGGCUAGAGUUUGGCAGAGGGGGGUAGAAUUCCACGUGUAGCAGUGAAAUGCGUAGAUAUGUGGAGGAACACCGAUGGCGAAGGCAGCCCCCUGGGAUAACACUGACGCUCAUGCACGAAAGCGUGGGGAGCAAACAGG
rnacentral:rRNA from 1 species